rnacentral:misc_RNA from 1 species
UUUUUUUUUUAUCGGAAAUUACGAAACUUCAUGGAUAGUCCAUCACAUACAGAAGUCCUAAACUAUCUUCAGUUAUCAAGCCCUAGAAAAUUAGAGCUCAAAGUCCAUCCAACAACCCAUUUACAAUCGGGUAAGGGAUUCGGUAGAACAAGAUCCGACAUUACCAAAAGCAAGACAAAAUGUCCUUGUUGCCGCAUCAUAGACCGGCGUCUGCUAACUGUGAGGAAAACUCAACACAAAAAAACACUAGUAGAAGCAAAGCUCUACCUCUACUAAAGAAAAGAAGCAAAGCUCUCCAAACAUAAUGUCUCCCUCAAACCAGGUGAGCCAAAAUAAAAUACUGCAUCAAACUGAAAGAAGGUUAGGACCCAUGUAUAUAUCGGUGGAAAUCGAGAUAGGAAUGAUAGAGCUCGGGCCUCUAACUCUCCUCUAUUCCGUAGGAAAAUCAGUGCCCAUAGAUGAUACCACCGCUCCUAUAAGUUGCCAUCCAAGCAAAAAACCCCUGGAAUAAACAUGCAUCCACUUGUAACAAGCAGAUCUAAAAAAAGUACAAACCCCAUCUAAUGAGGGAAACUAAACUCCAGAUUUUUAGACUGUAGGAACAUUACAACAAAGCACAAAACUAAAGAAAAUAAAAAUACUAAGAAAAGAAAGAGGUAGAGGGGGAGGGUUGACGGCUAAAAGGGCGGAUUUCCCUCUCAACUGAGAGCUGAGAUUGGUUUGGGUGUUUUAGAGAAAGGAGAAAACUAAUUUAGAGUGAGAGUUCUUUUAAAAUGG